rnacentral:rRNA from 1 species
UAACCAUUUAGUUGAGNACUNUAGCGAGACUGCCCGGGUUAACCGGGAGGAAGGUGGGGAAGANGUCAAAUNAUCAUGCCCCUUAUGUCUAGGGCUACACACGUGNNACAAUGGNUGGNACAGAGAGAUGCAAGACCGCGAGGUGGAGCCAAACUUUAAAACCAGUCUCAGUUCGGAUUGUAGGNUGAAACUNGCCUACAUGAAGCUGGAGUUGNUAGUAAUCGCGAAUCAGAAUGUCGCGGUGAAUACGUUCCCGGGCCUUGUACACACCGCCCGUCACACCAUGAGAGUUGGCAAUACCCAAAGUUCGUGAGCUAACCGCUAAGG